AAAACAUGUCUUUUUGAAAAUAAUAUAAAGUCUAAUCUGCCCACUGAUUAAUAAUUAAAGGGCUGCAGUAUAUUGACUGUACAAAGGUAGCAUAAUCAUUAGUCAUUUAAUUGGUGACUUGUAUGAAAGAUUGGAUGAAAUAUAAACUGUUUCUUAAUUAAUUAUAAAAUUUAAUUUUUUUAUUAAAAAGUUAAAAUAAUUUAAAAAGACGAGAAGACCCUAUAGAGUUUGAUAAAUAAAAAAAAUUAAGAUUAUUUAUAAUUAUAAAAAUUAAAAUUUAUUUAUUUAUUUUGUUGGGGUGACAAAAAAAUUUAUAAAACUUUUUUUUUAGUAAACAUUAAUAAGUGAAUAAGUGAUCCAGUAAUAUUGAUUAUAAGAAAAAAUUACCUUAGGGAUAACAGCGUAAUUUUUUUUUUUAGUUCAAAUAAGAAAAAGAGUUUGCGACCUCGAUGUUGGAUUAAGAUAAAAUUUGAAUGUAGAAGUU
rnacentral:rRNA from 1 species